rnacentral:rRNA from 1 species
GUGCACUGAUGCUUAUUGCACCACAUGUGUUUUUCUUUGAAACAAACUUGCUUUGGCGGUGGGCCCAGCCUGCCGCCAGAGGUCUAAACUUACAACCAAUUUUUUAUCAACUUGUCACACCAGAUUAUUACUAAUAGUCAAAACUUUCAACAACGGAUCUCUUGGUUCUCGCAUCGAUGAAGAACGCAGCGAAAUGCGAUACGUAAUAUGAAUUGCAGAUAUUCGUGAAUCAUCGAAUCUUUGAACGCACAUUGCGCCCUCUGGUAUUCCGGAGGGCAUGCCUGUUUGAGCGUCGUUUCUCCCUCAAACCGCUGGGUUUGGUGUUGAGCAAUACGACUUGGGUUUGCUUGAAAGACGGUAGUGGUAAGGCGGGAUCGCUUUGACAAUGGCUUAGGUCUAACCAAAAACAUUGCUUGCGGCGGUAACGUCCACCACGUAUAUCUUCAAACUUUGACCUCAAAUCAGGUAGGACUACCCGCUGAACUUAAGCAUAUCAAAAGCCGGGAGGAA